rnacentral:rRNA from 1 species
AUUGAACGCUGGCGGCAGGCUUAACACAUGCAAGUCGAGCGGAGAUGAGGUGCUUGCACCUUAUCUUAGCGGCGGACGGGUGAGUAAUGCUUAGGAAUCUGCCAUUUAGUGGGGGACAACAUUCCGAAAGGAAUGCUAAUACCGCAUACAUCCUACGGGAGAAAGCAGGGGAUCUUCGGACCUUGCGCUAAAUGAUGAGCCUAAGUCGGAUUAGCUAGUUGGUGGGGUAAAGGCCUACCAAGGCGACGAUCUGUAGCGGGUCUGAGAGGAUGAUCCGCCACACUGGGACUGAGACACGGCCCAGACUCCUACGGGAGGCAGCAGUGGGGAAUAUUGGACAAUGGGCGGAAGCCUGAUCCAGCCAUGCCGCGUGUGUGAAGAAGGCCUUUUGGUUGUAAAGCACUUUAAGCGAGGAGGAGGCUACCUGGAUUAAUACUCUGGGAUAGUGGACGUUACUCGCAGAAUAAGCACCGGCUAACUCUGUGCCAGCAGCCGCCGCAG